rnacentral:rRNA from 1 species
UACGUAGGGUGCAGGCGUUAAUCGGAAUUACUGGGCGUAAAGCGUGCGCAGGCGGUUUGCUAAGACAGGUGUGAAAUCCCCGGGCUUAACCUGGGAACUGCGCUUGUUACUGGCAGGCUUGAGUGUGGCAGAGGGGGGUAGAAUUCCACGUGUAGCAGUGAAAUGCGUAGAGAUGUGGAGGAACACCGAUGGCGAAGGCAGCCCCCUGGGUCAAGAUUGACGCUCAUGCACGAAAGCGUGGGGAGCAAACAGG